rnacentral:ncRNA from 1 species
UGUUAAGCAUAACACUGAAGAUGUUAAGAUGGACCCUAGAAAGUCCCGAAAGCACAAAAGCUUGGUCCUGACUUUUCUAUCAAUUUUGACUAGAUUUACACAUGCAAGUAUCCGCGCCACCGUGAGAAUGCCCACAACCCUCCUCGUUUGAGGGAGAGGAGCCGGUAUCAGGCACACAUCUAUUAGCCCAUAACGCCUUGCUCAGCCACACCCCCAAGGGUACCCAGCAGUGAUAAACAUUAAGCCCUAAGUGAAAGCUUGACUUAGUCAAUGUCAAAAGGGCUGGUAAAACUCGUGCCAGCCACCGCGGUUAUACGAAUUGGCCCGAGUUGAUAGAUAUCGGCGUAAAGAGUGGUUAGUGGUUGACCAAAGACUAAAGCCGAACGUCCUCAAAGCUGUUAUACGCUUCCGAAAGAACGAAGUCCCCCAACGAAAGUGGCUUUAACACCCAACCUGACCCCACGAAAGCUGUGAAACAAACUGGGAUUAGAUACCCCAUUAUGCUCAGCCUCAAACUUUGAUAGCACUAUACACCAGCUAUCCGCCAGGGGACUACGAGCAAUUAGCUUAAAACCCAAAGGACUUGGCGGUGCUUUAGACCCCCCUAGAGGAGCCUGUUCUAGAACCGAUAACCCCCGUUCAACCUCACCCCCUCUUGCCAUUUCCGCCUAUAUACCGCCGUCGUCAGCUUACCCUUUGAAGGAAUCAAAGUAGGCCAAAUCAGUAGAACCCAAAACGCCAGGUCGAGGUGUAGCUUACGAGGGGGGAAGAAAUGGGCUACAUUCCCUAUAUUAGGGCAUACGGACAGUGUAAUGAAAAACACACUCUUACAAGGAGGAUUUAGUAGUAAGCAGAAAAUAGAGCGUUCUGCUGAAACCGGCCCUGAAGCGCGCACACAC